UGCGUAGGCGGCUUGGUAGGUUGGGUGUGAAAUCCCACAGCUCAACUGUGGAACUGCGCUCAAAACCACCAGGCUUGAGGAAGGCAGAGGUGAGCGGAACUGAUGGUGGAGCGGUGAAAUGCGUUGAUAUCAUCAGGAACACCGGUGGCGAAGGCGGCUCACUGGGCCUUUUCUGACGCUGAGGCACGAAAGCUAGGAUCGCGAACAGGAUUAGAUACCCUGGUAGUCC
rnacentral:rRNA from 1 species